rnacentral:lncRNA from 1 species
CUAAAAUUAAAAGUCAAAUCACAAGACAAAAACUAAAAGGUGGAUAAGAAGUACCAACAAACCAUUGCUUAUCCUGUACAAUGGAUGUAGUUCUUUGUUUUGAGCAUUUAUGUAUUCCAUGACUUGCCUCCUUCCCUGUUACUCCAGAGUCUGGCAUCAUCAUUUUCAGUGUCAAAUGAACUAAGAGUGGACUGAAGCGCUUACAGCCCUUAUAAACUGGGCUACUGAGGUGGAGAUGUUAACAGCAUGUGUACCACUCCAAAAGGACACUGCUAAUGAGCAUAGGAGCUGGGUGCACACAUUGAAAGUGAAAUAUGAUGCAUUGCAAAGAAAUACACUUGCUGAAUGGGAACAUCUGCAUGUUCUUCAAAGAGAGAAAAUAAUCCUUGAGGAAAAGCUGAAAAGAGUUUUACAGGAAGCUGAAAAUGCUAAUAAGCAACUUACAAACUUAGCAACAUCUGUCCCUGUUCAAGACACAGAAAUUGUUCAAGAUGCACCCACCAGUUACAAAAAUGCAGAAAAGGAUAAAAAUAAUGAUUCUGACAUUGAUAUGAAAAAAUAUGCUAAAGAUGCAUCUAAGAAAGGCCAAAAAUCAACUAAAACUGAAGGCAGCAGGGAAGAUCAUAUAGUGUCACCAUCCAAGUCCAUUAGUGAAGCUGAUGAAUUAGUACACAAAUUGCUAGCAAAGAACCAAGUGAAACAAGGAAUAAGGAAAAGUCCCGGAGAAAUGGAGGAAACUGAAGAAAUUGCAACACCGUCUCAAAAGAAGGAUGUUAAACUAGGAAAAAAAGGAUUAACAGAGGGAAAGAAGUCUGAAGAUCAUGGUGUUUCAGCAAGCAAGCUAAAAGAAAAAUACCUUUUUCAGGAGCAAGGAGAGUCAUAUAAACCUAAAGAAUUACUUUCUAGCAUGGAAGAGACUCUAAGACUUCCUGCUUAUCCAUCUGGACAGGAAAACAUGCAGUAUUCUUCUGAACAUGCUGAUGAGAAGCCAACAUCACUGUUAUCUGAUAAAACCCAGCAAAUGUCAACAGCAACCAGAGCAAACAGAAAAUCAGAGUCUCUCAGUCUUCAUCCUGAAGACAAAUGAAGUGUGAGCUUGCUUCUCAGUGGGAGGUGUGAAUCAUAGACUGACUGUCUGCAGCUGUCUUCAGUCCACACUGGGCUUUCCCACACAGCCUAACUGGUGUUGCUAAUGAAUGCAGAGUUGGACAUUCUGCUGAUUUUGGAAGUCACCAU